rnacentral:tRNA from 1 species
GACGAGGUGGCCGAGUGGUUAAGGCGUUGGACUGUUAAUCGAAUAUGCUCUGCAUGCGUGGGUUCGAAUGAUAUCCUCGUCG